UGAGUAACACGUAUCCAACCUGCCGUCUACUCUUGGCCAGCCUUCUGAAAGGAAGAUUAAUCCAGGAUGGCAUCAUGAGUUCACAUGUCCGCAUGAUUAAAGGUAUUUUCCGGUAGACGAUGGGGAUGCGUUCCAUUAGAUAGUAGGCGGGGUAACGGCCCACCCAGUCAACGAUGGAUAGGGGUUCUGAGAGGAAGGUCCCCCACAUUGGAACUGAGACACGGUCCAA
rnacentral:rRNA from 1 species